rnacentral:precursor_RNA from 1 species
GCGGAGGCUGUGGGCCCUUCCCCUCGGGAGCAGGUGGGUGCUGCCCAGGCGCGGGAGGAGGUGGCAGCUGCCUUGUCUCCGCAG